rnacentral:rRNA from 1 species
CCGCCCGUCACAUCACGGAAGUCACUUGUAGCCGAAGCCGGCGCGCUAACCCGCAAGGGAGGCAGCCUUCUACGCUAUGAGCGGUAACUGGGAUG